CAGGGGCUGGUACAGAGACCCUGGGACUGGUAGGGUCUGUGGCACCAGUCCUCUCUCUUCUGUGGCUAGGAGCUGGAGAGUGAUGAGGAGUGGCAGCAGCUGAUUGAGGACACUGAGGCCUCAGGCAUGCAGCUGAGCAUGCCUCUGGGCCUGCUGAGGGACCCAGCUUUCCAGCACCGUGUCCGGGACCGCCUGGCAGACUCUGCUCAGCAGGUGCUGGAAGGGAUGCUGGAGGGAGCCUCCCAUCUUCGUUCUGUGCUUCGUGUUAUUGGCAACCUCCUGUCUACCCAGUGUGAUGCUGAGCUGCUGGACCACUUCUGCCAAGAGCUGAAUGUGCCUCUGUCCCUGCUGUGUCUAGCCAAGCAGAUCCUGGAAAGUGCUGUCACCAAGCAGCAGCCCUGGUGUAUCGCUGUGCUGACAGACCUCCUCAUGGUGACCAAAGUUUAUUUCAGCAGUGAAUGUAGCCUGGAGGAGAGUGGGCAAAAGGACAGGUAGGGACAACCUUCUGUUCCCUGAGGUCUUGUGUGGUCACUUUGGGGACCUGGCAGUAGGUGCAAGGGUGGUGGUCAUACUCUGCAGCUGGAGUUGUCUCUGUGGGGGAGCAUCAUGAUCUAAGUGCUUCAUGCCAUAUUGCUGUGCUCAGAGGAGCACUUUCCUUGAAUGGGAUUAGCUGGAGAAAGGGCACAGCUGACAAGUCUGGUUGUGCUGCCUGCUGACAGCAGCUCACAGUGUGAGUGUGUGCUUCCUGCUCCAUUAGCCAGGGCCAUGUGGGUCUGUCCUCACACCAAGGGGCCAUGUUUCUCUGCACUUGUCUGUCCCUGCUCUCCCCCCAGCCUGCAGCAGAGUGCUGACUGCUUCCUGGCCCUGCUGCCGGAGCUGCUGGCUGUGCCAGUCGACAGUGAGAUGAGACUCUGCCAGCAAAGCCUCCUGUGCUUCACCCAGCUCUGUGAGAGCCUAGACACAACAGACCCUUCUAUCUCUGCACACUUCUACACCAGGCUGCAAGAGGACCAUCAGCCCCUGCUGAACAGACUCCUUCAAGGAUCCAUCUCAGAGCAGCCUGCUCUUCGAGGUAGCAGUGGUAGCAGCUUGCCAGCUCUUCCUGGGGUUUCUUCUCCUUCCUCCCCUUGGGCUCCAUCAGAGCACUGAUGGCCAUUGUAGUGCUGUUGGCCAGAAGAGGUGGCUGAAAUUUAUCUGUCCAGACCCCUGCUAACUUGGGCUCUCCUCUCUCAAUCCCAGAUCUCACCCUCCUUAUGUCACAAGCCUGACUUCUCCUCUCUUGCCAUCCAACCCUACCCUGCUGCCCCUCAGCACCUUUAGCAGAAUGAGUCCCCAGCUCUGUCCCUGUGCAGGUGCAGCAGUGGAAGGCAAGUCAGCCCAUGACCAGAACCCAUGUGUGGCAGACCUCUUCCUGGCUGCAUUGGCUGCUGCAUGCAGCAUCACCCUGGAGAAAAACAGCUGUUGGGAGGCCAAGCAGCAGGUCAGACCAGCUCUCUUUACAGGGUGAAGAGGUGUGGUCUUCCCAGGGGCAGCAGACCUUUCUAGGAGGAUCUCUUUCUCAACAGUAGAGUGGAGGGCUGGGAUCCUCUGGCUUUACUGGCUGCAGGGCUCACAUUUGUGGGCUGCCAACCUCCCCAGCCAACAGCUGACUUUAGGAAUGUAAGGAUUCUUGAAUCAAUUAAGAGACUUAAACUUAGGAUCUGAACUAUGAGAUGGGCUAAGUAAAGAACUAGGCAAUGCAGGGAAAACAUGAAGAAUUCUUUUAUUACAGCAAUAUAACUGUAGGAAAUCUGAAAUUGAAGGGGCAGUAAGAGGGAAAACAAUUACAGGUUUACAUUUGAUUCUUUAACUCUGAGUCAACAAGGAGGGAAGCAGAGGAGGAGUCUUACCUUGCUCAUCUCAACUCUGGGACUGUGCAUCAAAGCCAUGCUAGGUCAUAGCAGAGAGGCAUCCCUUAGUAGACGCAGGCAAGAUGUAGGAAGCAGAUACUUUCUUUCAUUAAAUUGUUGCUAGCAUUAAACUCUUCUAGUCUGGGCAGUGCUUCAGGUGCCCAGAGUGCAGAACAGGCUGAUUUCUGCAGGUUGCUCACGCAGUAGCUGAAAAGCUUAUGGAAGGAGAGAGUCAGCAGCUUGCAAGACUGCUGGGGAGACUGGAGGACCCAGGCUGCUCCUUGAAUGUCCUGAAGGUAAUGGCCCUGUCCUUUUAUCUGGCUCUGCCCAGAGGUGCCUGGGCCUUUGCUCUGGAAUUAGGAGCAUGGCAAAGAGGGAACUUUGAGCUUAGCCCUCAAUGGUUCCCAUCUGCCUGGUGUCAGUUGUUGAAUAAAUGAGCCCAUGGUAGCCAUGGGGUGGAACCUGUCUGCAGGGACUGGUGGCAUCUCUCCCCUCUGCCUUGCAGAUCCUCUAUGCUGGCUGCCAUGCCUACCCGAACCUGUGCCAGCACCUGGGAAGGAGCCAGCCACUGUGGGGUUCCCUCAUGCAGCUCUUGAAGGGUGAGGUAGGACUGACCACAGCCCUGGUGGAGGGGUAGGAGUCUGGGCAAGCAGGAUGCAUUCCUCUGAGCACCGGUCAGAUGAAUCUGUGGGGGAAGAGGAGUUUUGGGGAGUUUAAUCGGAAGAGUGCAGCUCUCCUCUGGGGCCCAGAAACACCUCCUUCUCCCUGCUAUGACUUCUAUUCCUUUGGUAGGUCCCUGUGGUAGAGGUGACCCAGGAGGCAGCCUGUGAAGCCUCUCUGUACCUGCUGGCCCUGCUCACCCUGCAGCUUCAGGCAUCCCCUCCCAGGUAAGCAGACACUUUUACUCAUGGGUGGGAGAGGAACAUGCCCUGUCCUGAACAGCACUCUGUCCUGCACACUGCCUGGAGCUGGAACCUGGUCCCACUGAUCCCUCUGACCCAGACAUACUGGCAGAAUGCUGGGCAGUGUGGGUGGGUACUGGGGAUGUGGUGAGGAUGACCCAGUGCAGACAAGGAGGUGCUGUGAACCAGGGCUCCUCCUGAAACGUGGCUGCUUCCCAGCUGUGUGGGUAUUGGAUGCUGCUGUUCUGCAUGAUGUGGAACUGUGAGAACAUAGUGCUUCUCUCCUGGUCCCUGCAUUUCAGGUGUGAGGAGAUGGUUGCCCUGGCUGUGGAUCUCAUCACCCAGUCUCCUGUUGUGUCCCUUGUGGUAAGCCACCCUCCCCUGCCAGAGCCACUACUGAGAGCCCUGCAGACCCUUGCAUCCCAUUUGGGCCUUACUGUUCCUCACUCAGGGUGGGAUGAGGCCAAGAGAUGAAGUGUCAAUAGUGACUGAGCAGAUGGAAAAGUCCCAAAGGUGCUGAACUCUCCUUGUCCCACAGGGUGCUGCAGCAUUUCUCCUGGCACAGCUCAGUCAGCAUGGGGUGGCUUUGGAGCUCAAGAGAGAAAAGAUCCUACCAGUGGUAGCAAAUGCACUGACUGCACCUGCUGAGGUAUGGGAUGGGGAGAGAGAAGCUGGGGACCCAUGCAUCCCCCACUGUAGAGGUGUGCAAGGAUGGGCUCAGAAGGGUG
rnacentral:lncRNA from 14 species